rnacentral:rRNA from 1 species
GGUGAACGCUGGCGGCGUGCCUAAUACAUGCAAGUCGAGCGAACAGAUGAGGAGCUUGCUCCUCUGACGUUAGCGGCGGACGGGUGAGUAACACGUGGAUAACCUACCUAUAAGACUGGGAUAACUUCGGGAAACCGGAGCUAAUACCGGAUAAUAUAUUGAACCGCAUGGUUCAAUAGUGAAAGACGGUUUUGCUGUCACUUAUAGAUGGAUCCGCGCCGCAUUAGCUAGUUGGUAAGGUAACGGCUUACCAAGGCAACGAUGCGUAGCCGACCUGAGAGGGUGAUCGGCCACACUGGAACUGAGACACGGUCCAGACUCCUACGGGAGGCAGCAGUAGGGAAUCUUCCGCAAUGGGCGAAAGCUUGACGGAGCAACGCCGCGUGAGUGAUGAAGGUCUUCGGAUCGUAAAACUCUGUUAUUAGGGAAGAACAAAUGUGUAAGUAACUAUGCACGUCUUGACGGUACCUAAUCAGAAAGCCACGACUAACUACGUG